rnacentral:rRNA from 1 species
AUUGAACGCUGGCGGCAUGCCUUACACAUGCAAGUCGAACGGCAGCACGGGAGCAAUCCUGGUGGCGAGUGGCGAACGGGUGAGUAAUGUAUCGGAACGUGCCCAGUCGUGGGGGAUAACGUAGCGAAAGCUACGCUAAUACCGCAUACGAUCUAUGGAUGAAAGCGGGGGAUCGCAAGACCUCGCGCGAUUGGAGCGGCCGAUAUCAGAUUAGGUAGUUGGUGGGGUAAAGGCCAACCAAGCCUGCGAUCUGUAGCUGGUCGGGGAGGACGACCAGCCACACUGGAACUGAGACACGGUCCAGACUCCUACGGGAGGCAGCAGUGGGGAAUUUUGGACAAUGGGCGCAAGCCUGAUCCAGCAAUGCCGCGUGCAGGAUGAAGGCCUUCGGGUUGUAAACUGCUUUUGUACGGAACGAAACGGCUUUUUCUAAUACAGAGAGCUAAUGACGGUACCGUAAGAAUAAGCACCGGCUAACUACGUGCCAGCCGCCGCCGUAA